CCCAGCACUGAAUCGCGCGGCCGAACGGUCGCAGCGAAAUGUAGUGUAUGGGAGGAUUCUGCUGCUAUCACACGGUGUGUCCAAGUCCUUCUUGAACGGGGCCGUUUACCCAUAGAGGGUGCCAGGCCCGUAGAGACCACUGUCGAUAGCGGAGUCAGAGUCUCUCCUUUGAGUCGGGUUGCUUGAGAGUGCAGCCCUAAGUAGGUGGUAAGCUCCAUCUAAGGCUAAAUAUAACCACGAGUCCGAUAGCGAACAAGUACCGUGAGGGAAAGUUGAAAAGGACUUUGAAGAGAGAGUUCAAGAGUACGUGAAACCGUUUAGUUGAAAACCUGAGAGGCCUGAAGUUCGAAUGGGGAGAUUCAUUGCGUCAAGCUUGGGCGAGUGCCGUUUGUAUCAGUGUUUGCCAUUGUGCAUUCAUUCAUUCACUUACGUGCGCCGCUAUCUUGUGGAUCGCGUGCACUUUUCCCCUAGUAGAACGUCGCGACCCGUUUGGUGUCGGUAGUGGCUCGCAGUGGAGCCCGGCCUUCGGCUUCGGUCGAUCGUCCGGACCUGUGAUGUCCCGUCCGGCUGCUCGACGGUCGUGGAAUACUAGUGGCGUAGAGCGUCGCCUUUGCGCGCGUUCGGCCUGAUACUGUACGCAUUCGUUUACCCACACACCGCACUUGUGUCGGUCGCGGGGCCGGGUGGCAGUUAGUUUCGGUGUUGCCGGACAGUCUCUACGCCUGUUAGCGGCGCGCUAGCGUUAGGUCCUUACAGGUCCCGUCUU
rnacentral:rRNA from 1 species